GGAGUAAAAGUCGUAACAAGGUCUCCGUAGGUGAACCUGCGGAGGGAUCAUUACACAAAUAUGAAGGCGGGCUGGAACCUCUCGGGGUUACAGCCUUGCUGAAUUAUUCACCCUUGUCUUUUGCGUACUUCUUGUUUCCUUGGUGGGUUCGCCCACCACUAGGACAAACAUAAACCUUUUGUAAUUGCAAUCAGCGUCAGUAACAAAUUAAUAAUUACAACUUUCAACAACGGAUCUCUUGGUUCUGGCAUCGAUGAAGAACGCAGCGAAAUGCGAUAAGUAGUGUGAAUUGCAGAAUUCAGUGAAUCAUCGAAUCUUUGAACGCACAUUGCGCCCUUUGGUAUUCCAAAGGGCAUGCCUGUUCGAGCGUCAUUUGUACCCUCAAGCUUUGCUUGGUGUUGGGCGUCUUGUCUCUAGCUUUGCUGGAGACUCGCCUUAAAGUAAUUGGCAGCCGGCCUACUGGUUUCGGAGCGCAGCACAAGUCGCACUCUCUAUCAGCAAAGGUCUAGCAUCCAUUAAGCCUUUUUUCANCUUUUGACCUCGGAUCAGGUAGGGAUACCCGCUGAACUUAAGCAACAAAAAA
rnacentral:rRNA from 1 species